AGUGAACGCUGGCGGUAGGCCUAACACAUGCAAGUCGAACGGCAGCACAGGAGAGCUUGCUCUCUGGGUGGCGAGUGGCGGACGGGUGAGGAAUACAUCGGAAUCUACUUUUUCGUGGGGGAUAACGUAGGGAAACUUACGCUAAUACCGCAUACGACCUACGGGUGAAAGCAGGGGAUCUUCGGACCUUGCGCGAUUGAAUGAGCCGAUGUCGGAUUAGCUAGUUGGCGGGGUAAAGGCCCACCAAGGCGACGAUCCGUAGCUGGUCUGAGAGGAUGAUCAGCCACACUGGAACUGAGACACGGUCCAGACUCCUACGGGAGGCAGCAGUGGGGAAUAUUGGACAAUGGGCGCAAGCCUGAUCCAGCCAUACCGCGUGGGUGAAGAAGGCCUUCGGGUUGUAAAGCCCUUUUGUUGGGAAAGAAAUCCAGCUGGCUAAUACCCGGUUGGGAUGACGGUACCCAAAGAAUAAGCACCGGCUAACUUCGUGCCAGCAGCAGCCGCCGUAA
rnacentral:rRNA from 1 species